rnacentral:rRNA from 1 species
CCUACGGGACGCAGCAGUGGGGAAUAUUGCACAAUGGGCGCAAGCCUGAUGCAGCCAUGCCGCGUGUAUGAAGAAGGCCUUCGGGUUGGAAAGUACUUUCAGCGGUGAGGAAGGUGUUGUGGUUAAUAACCGCAGCAAUUGACGUUACCCGCAGAGGAAGCACCGGCUAACUCCGUGCCAGCAGCCGCGGUAAUACGGAGGGUGCAAGCGUUAAUCGGAAUUACUGGGCGUAAAGCGCACGCAGGCGGUCUGUCAAGUCGGAUGUGAAAUCCCCGGGCUCAACCUGGGAACUGCAUUCGAAACUGGCAGGCUAGAGUCUUGUAGAGGGGGGUAGAAUUCCAGGUGUAGCGGUGAAAUGCGUAGAGAUCUGGGGGAAUACCGGUGGCGAAGGCGGCCCCCUGGACAAAGACUGACGCUCAGGUGCGAAAGCGUGGGGAGCAAACAGGAUUAGAUACCCUCGUAGUC